rnacentral:tRNA from 1 species
UGGCUCAGAUGGUAAAGCAUCUGCCUGCAAUGCAGGAGACCCAGGCUCGAUCCCUGG